AUUGAACGCUAGCGGCAGGCCUAACACAUGCAAGUCGAGCGGAUGAAGGGAGCUUGCUCCUGGAUUCAGCGGCGGACGGGUGAGUAAUGCCUAGGAAUCUGCCUGGUAGUGGGGGAUAACGUCCGGAAACGGGCGCUAAUACCGCAUACGUCCUGAGGGAGAAAGUGGGGGAUCUUCGGACCUCGCGCUAUCAGAUGAGCCUAGGUCGGAUUAGCUAGUUGGUGGGGUAAAGGCCUACCAAGGCGACGAUCCGUAACUGGUCUGAGAGGAUGAUCAGUCACACUGGAACUGAGACACGGUCCAGACUCCUACGGGAGGCAGCAGUGGGGAAUAUUGGACAAUGGGCGAAAGCCUGAUCCAGCCAUGCCGCGUGUGUGAAGAAGGUCUUCGGAUUGUAAAGCACUUUAAGUUGGGAGGAAGGGCAGUAAGUUAAUACCUUGCUGUUUUGACGUUACCAACAGAAUAAGCACCGGCUAACUUCGUG
rnacentral:rRNA from 1 species